rnacentral:lncRNA from 1 species
GUGUGCUGCUAUAGCCUUGUCUUCUCAAGAACACUACCAUCUUUGAACUUGCAUCACAAUUGAAUCAAAGCCCAAUUACUUUCGAUCUUACUACUAGAAUGACAUCAAGAAGACACUCUUCAGAUGUCAUACAACUUAAAUUUUAAUUUUUUACUCCAACACAUGAAAAAAUUAAAUUCUAGGGCACUCAAGCAACACUUGUCGAAAAUCUGACCAC